AUGACUGAUGCAUGGACAGAUAAGAAGGGCAGGGGAGUAAUGAAUUUAGUUGUGCACAGUGCUCAUGGUGUUUGCUUCAUUGAUUCAGUGGACUGCUCCGAUGACAUAAAAGAUGGCAAAUACAUAUUUGACUUGGUGGACAAAUGCAUAGAAGAUAUAGGUGAAGAAAAUGUUGUGCAAGUGGUGACUGAUAAUGCUAGUGUGAAUGUAUCAGCAGCUAGUAUUCUAACAGCAAAUAGACCAUCCAUAUUUUGGAAUGGAUGUGCUGCCCACUGCCUAGAUCUCAUGCUGGAGGAUCUUGGGAAGCUUGUACCAGUUGCAAAUACUAUUUCAAGUGCAAGAGAAGUGACUAGCUUCUUGUAUGCUCAUACAAGGGUAUUGGAUUUGAUGAGGAAAUUUCUUGGGAAGGACUUGGUUCGCUCUGGUGUUACUCGGUUUGCCAUUGCUUACUUAAAUCUGAAAAGUUUGCUAGACAACAAGAAGGAGUUGACAAGGCUCUUCAGAUCAGAUGAGAUGAAUGAACUAGGUUCAUACUUGACAAAGGAAAAGGGGAAAAAACACUCAAAGUGGUGCGAUCUGAAGUUUUUUGGAAACAUGUUGACAUGGCCGUUAAUUUCUUCGAGCCAA
rnacentral:rRNA from 1 species